rnacentral:pre_miRNA from 1 species
AGAGGGGUUCCACAGGAGCGACCUGGGAUCACAUGCGUCCACCCUCACAUUAACACAAUGUGCUGCAUUGCUAGUGUAUUGUGCUCGAUGUGUUCUCAGGUCGCCCCUGCAGUACCUUC